CCUACGGGUGGCAGCAGUGGGGAAUAUUGCACAAUGGAGGAAACCCUGAUGCAGCGACGCCGCGUGAGUGAAGAAGUAUUUCGGUAUGUAAAGCUCUAUCAGCGGGGAAGAAAAUGACGGUACCUGCUUAAGAAGCCCCGGCUAACUACGUGCCAGCAGCCGCGGUAAUACGUAGGGGUCAAGCGUUAUCCGGAUUUACUGGGUGUAAAGGGAGCGUAGACGGCAGCACAAGUCUGGAGUGAAAUGCCGGGGCUUAACCCCGGAACUGCUUUGGAAACUGUGCAGCUAGAGUGCAGGAGAGGUAAGCGGAAUUCCUAGUGUAGCGGUGAAAUGCGUAGAUAUUAGGAGGAACACCAGUGGCGAAGGCGGAUUACUGGACUGUAACUGACGUUGAGGCUCGAAAGCGUGGGGAGCAAACAGGAUUAGAUACCCUUGUAGUC
rnacentral:rRNA from 1 species